AGUGAACGCUGGCGGUAGGCCUAACACAUGCAAGUCGAACGGCAGCACAGUAAGAGCUUGCUCUUACGGGUGGCGAGUGGCGGACGGGUGAGGAAUACAUCGGAAUCUACUUUUUCGUGGGGGAUAACGUAGGGAAACUUACGCUAAUACCGCAUACGACCUACGGGUGAAAGCAGGGGAUCUUCGGACCUUGCGCGAUUGAAUGAGCCGAUGUCGGAUUAGCUAGUUGGCGGGGUAAAGGCCCACCAAGGCGACGAUCCGUAGCUGGUCUGAGAGGAUGAUCGGCCACACUGGAACUGAGACACGGUCCAGACUCCUACGGGAGGCAGCAGUAGGGAAUCUUGGACAAUGGGCGCAAGCCUGAUCCAGCAAUACCGCGUGGGUGAAGAAGGCCUUCGGGUCGUAAAGCCCUUUUGUUGGGAAAGAACAGCAGCAGGUUAAUACGCGGCUGUUCUGACGGUACCCAAAGAAUAAGCACCGGCUAACUUCGUG
rnacentral:rRNA from 1 species